rnacentral:rRNA from 1 species
AAUAGAUACCCUGGUAGUCCUAGCCGUAAACGAUGGACACUAGGUGUUGGUGGUAUCAACCCCACCAGUGCCGAAGCUAACGCAUUAAGUGUCCCGCCUGGGGAGUACGGCCGCAAGGCUAAAACUCAAAGGAAUUGACGGGGCCCCGCGACAAGCAGCGGAGCGUGGGGUUUAAUUCGAUGCAACGCGAAGAACCUUACCAGGGCUUGACAUGACCAGGAAUCCGGCGGAAACGUCGGCGCCCCGCAAGGGGCCUGGCCACAGGUGUUGCAUGGCUGUCGUCAGCUCGUGUCGUGAGAUGUUGGGUUAAGUCCCGCAACGAGCGCAACCCUACCGUGUGUUGUAUCACUCACACGGGACUGCCGAGAGAAACUCGGAGGAAGGCGGGGAUGACGUCAAGUCAGCAUGGCCCUUACGUCCUGGGCUACACCCACGCUACAAUGGCCGGUACAACGGGCUGCGAAACCGCGAGGUGGAGCAAAUCCCUUAAAGCCGGUCUCAGUUCGGAUUGUAGGCUGCAACUCGCCUACAUGAAGCCGGAGUUGCUAGUAACCG